rnacentral:rRNA from 1 species
CCAAACGCCCUGGGCGGCGCGCUAAUACAUGCAAGUCGAGCGAGAAGGUGUAGCAAUACACUUGUAAAGCGGCGAACGGGUGAGGAAUGCAUGGGUAACCUACCCUCGAGUGGGGAAUAACUAGCCGAAAGGUUAGCUAAUACCGCAUACGUUUCCGGGACUUCGGUACCGGAAAGAAAGCAAUACCGUGGGUAUUGCGCUCAUGGAUGGGCUCAUGUCCUAUCAGCUUGUUGGUGAGGUAACGGCUCACCAAGGCUUCGACGGGUAGCUGGUCUGAGAGGACGAUCAGCCACACUGGCACUGCGACACGGGCCAGACUCCUACGGGAGGCAGCAGUAAGGAAUAUUGCGCAAUGGACGAAAGUCUGACGCAGCGACGCCGCGUGGGGGAUGAAGGUCUUCGGAUUGUAAACCCCUUUCGGGAGGGAAGAUGGAGUGGGUAACCACUUGGACGGUACCUCCAGAAGCAGCCACGGCUAACUUCGUGCCAGCAGCCGCGGUAAUACGAAGGUGGCAAGCGUUGUUCGGAUUCACUGGGCGUACAGGGAGCGUAGGCGGUUGGGUAAGCCCUCCGUGAAAUCUCCGGGCCUAACCCGGAAAGUGCAGAGGGGACUGCUCAGCUAGAGGAUGGGAGAGGAGCGCGGAAUUCCCGGUGUAGCGGUGAAAUGCGUAGAGAUCGGGAGGAAGGCCGGUGGCGAAGGCGGCGCUCUGGAACAUUUCUGACGCUGAGGCUCGAAAGCGUGGGGGAGCAAACAGGAUUAGAUACCCUGG